UGGCAAGCCAGAUGUGUAAGCCCGGGUCUCAACCCCGGUACUGCAUUUGGAACUGUCAGGCUAGAGUGUCGGAGAGGUAAGCGGAAUUCCUAGUGUAGCGGUGAAAUGCGUAGAUAUUAGGGGGAACACCAGUGGCGAAGGCGGCUUACUGGACGAUGACUGACGUUGAGGCGCGAAAGCGUGGGGAGCAAACA
rnacentral:rRNA from 1 species